UACGGAGGGGGCUAGCGUUGUUCGGAAUUACUGGGCGUAAAGCGCGCGUAGGCGGCUUUGUAAGUUAGAGGUGAAAGCCCGGAGCUCAACUCCGGAACUGCCUUUAAGACUGCAUCGCUAGAAUUGUGGAGAGGUGAGUGGAAUUCCGAGUGUAGAGGUGAAAUUCGUAGAUAUCGAGAGGAACACCGGUGGCGAAGGCGGCCUGCUGGACGAUGACUGACGCUGAGACGCGAAAGCGUGGGGAGCAAACAGG
rnacentral:rRNA from 1 species